rnacentral:rRNA from 1 species
UAGGGAAUCUUCCGCAAUGGGUGAAAGCCUGACGGAGCAACGCCGCGUGAGUGAUGAAGGUCUUCGGAUCGUAAAACUCUGUUAUUAGGGAAGAACAAAUGUGUAAGUAACUAUGCACGUCUUGACGGUACCUAAUCAGAAAGCCACGGCUAACUACGUGCCAGCAGCCGCGGUAAUACGUAGGUGGCAAGCGUUAUCCGGAAUUAUUGGGCGUAAAGCGCGCGUAGGCGGUUUUUUAAGUCUGAUGUGAAAGCCCACGGCUCAACCGUGGAGGGUCAUUGGAAACUGGAAAACUUGAGUGCAGAAGAGGAAAGUGGAAUUCCAUGUGUAGCGGUGAAAUGCGCAGAGAUAUGGAGGAACACCAGUGGCGAAGGCGACUUUCUGGUCUGUAACUGACGCUGAUGUGCGAAAGCGUGGGGAUCAAACAGGAUUAGAUACCCUGGUAGUCCACGCCGUAAACGAUGAGUGCUAAGUGUUAGGGGGUUUCCGCCCCUUAGUGCUGCAGCUAACGCAUUAAGCACUCCGCCUGGGGAGUACGACCGCAAGGUUG